AAACUAACAAGAAUUCCCCCUAUUAUCUGCGAGUGAAGCGGGAAGAGCUCAAAUUUAAAAUCUGUCCUUCUUUGCCCGUCCGAGUUGUAUUCUGGAGAAGUGUUUUCCGCGCUGGACCGUGUACAAGUCUCUUGGAACAGAGCGUCAUAGAGGGUGAGAAUCCCGUCUUUGACACGGACUACCAGUGCUUUGUGAUGCGCUCUCGAAGAGUCGAGUUGUUUGGGAAUGCAGCUCAAAAUGGGUGGUAAAUUCCAUCUAAAGCUAAAUAUUGGCGAGAGACCGAUAGCGAACAAGUACCGUGAGGGAAAGAUGAAAAGCACUUUGGAAAGAGAGUUAAACAGUACGUGAAAUUGCUGAAAGGGAAACGCUUGAAGUCAGUCGCGUCUUCCGGAACUCAGCCUUGCUUUUGSUUGGUGUACUUUCUGGUUGACGGGUCAGCAUCAAUUUUGACCGUGGGAAAAAGGCUGGAGGAAUGUGGCACCUCCGGGUGUGUUAUAGACCCUGGUCGUAUACAGCGGUUGGGAUCGAGGAACGCAGCACGCCUUAUGGCCGGGGUUCGUCCACGUUACGUGCUUAGGAUGUUGGCAUAAUGGUCUUAA
rnacentral:rRNA from 1 species